GAGUAUCUCUUCUUUUCUUCUUCUUCAGGUGAAAGUACCAGCAAGUACUCUUCCCUUCCUGUAACAGAGAUGGUUGCUUCACAUGCUUAUUGUAUUUGGAAGCAUGGAAGGCCUGAAAUCCCUCAGAGAUUAGGUGUCUUCUUUUUCCCCAAAAUUCAGGGAUUUUUCCCCAGGAAAGUGCCCAGUCGUUUGAUUUCAUUCAUUUGUACUGGAAUUGGUUUUGUAACCAUCCAAUUUUCCCAUGAACACCAUAAUUCUAAAUUAUAUUUUUCAGAGAUUUGAUGUGAUAGAAAUUAAGUGAGUAAUAAUUUAGGUUUUUAGGUUUUGAAAAGGAAAAGAAAGAGAAGUGCCCAUAUAAAGGGUGAUAUUUCUUUCUCCGAAGACCUUGCGUUUGAAAGGGAGCUUCUUCUGCUUCUAGCUUUGCUGGCUAUUCUAUUUGGUGUGCAUCUUUUGCUCCAACAAGUUGGCAUAUUCAGUUCUUAGAACUAAUGUACCUUCUGUUGAGAAGACAACCAUUGAAGCUGUUUCCUCGAUUGCUGCAAAAAAGAGUCCUGAAGACAACAAGCUUGCAUCUUCAAAAUCUGCUCAUAUGAGCACUCUCAAGAAGCCACGUGAAUCUGCAAAAUAAAGCAGCCACACAGCUUCAUGUCCUCUUUUGUUCAUCAUGUAUGCUACUGAACUUUUAGCAUGCUAUUUUUUGCCAUCAUAUUAGAAUCCAUUA